rnacentral:lncRNA from 1 species
GAGGGCAUGACCAGGAAUGCCAUAUUCAAGAUGGCAAUGGCGUGGGUGAUAGUGUGCCUCCUCUAAGGGCCUGCCAUCAUCAGCUGGGACUACAUAGCCAGAAGAAGCAUUCUGCCCUGAGGGGAAGAAUGGUACAACUGGUGCUUCCUGAUGACAGCCUCCAGCAUUGAAUCCUUCACCCUCUCAUCAGUGUCAUUUACUUCAACUUGAGCAUCCAUCGUCCACGUCGCUUGACGUCAUGGUGUGUGCAUUUGUCCUGUGCUGGGCUCCCUACACUGCUCGUGAUCAUCGGAGCUGCCUGCCACGGGUCACAUGUCCAGCACUUUCUCUAUGAGACACGCUUCUGGCUCCACUGGCUGAAUUCGGCUAUCAGCCCUCUUCCGUACUCAUUCUGCCAC